AUAUAUAUAUAUACGUAUAUAUACAUAUAUAUAUGUAUAUAUGUAUAUAUACAUCGCUAGCCACCGAACCUUUAUUAUUUUCUCACCCUGUCUAUUUCUGUGUUCCUUUAUGACGAAGAGCGUAGGCUCGAAACGUAAAAGACUUUCUCACUUCCCGAGUGUUAAACUAAUACAUCUCCUUGUUGUUUACA